UACGUAGGGGCCAAGCGUUGUCCGGAUUUAUUGGGCGUAAAGAGCUCGUAGGCGGUUCGGCAAGUCAGCUGUGAAAUCUCCACGCUCAACGUGGAGGGGUCAGCUGAUACUGCUGUGACUCGAGUCCGGGAGAGGUGAGUGGAACUGCGAGUGUAGAGGUGAAAUUCGUAGAUAUUCGCAAGAACACCAGUGGCGAAGGCGGCUCACUGGCCCGGUACUGACGCUGAGGUGCGAAAGCGUGGGGAGCAAACAGG
rnacentral:rRNA from 1 species